rnacentral:rRNA from 1 species
UAGUCAUAUGCUUGUCUCAAAGAUUAAGCCAUGCAUGUCUAAGUAUAAGCAAUUUAUACAGUGAAACUGCGAAUGGCUCAUUAAAUCAGUUAUCGUUUAUUUGAUAGUACCUUUACUACUUGGAUAACCGUGGUAAUUCUAGAGCUAAUACAUGCUAAAAAUCCCGACUGUUUGGAAGGGAUGUAUUUAUUAGAUAAAAAAUCAAUGCUUUUCGGAGCUCUUUGAUGAUUCAUAAUAACUUUUCGAAUCGCAUGGCCUUGUGCUGGCGAUGGUUCAUUCAAAUUUCUGCCCUAUCAACUUUCGAUGGUAGGAUAGUGGCCUACCAUGGUUUCAACGGGUAACGGGGAAUAAGGGUUCGAUUCCGGAGAGGGAGCCUGAGAAACGGCUACCACAUCCAAGGAAGGCAGCAGGCGCGCAAAUUACCCAAUCCCGACACGGGGAGGUAGUGACAAUAAAUAACGAUACAGGGCCCUUUCGGGUCUUGUAAUUGGAAUGAGUACAAUGUAAGUACCUUAACGAGGAACAAUU